rnacentral:rRNA from 1 species
AUUGAACGCUGGCGGCAUGCUUUACACAUGCAAGUCGAACGGUAACAGGGUGCUCGCACUGCUGACGAGUGGCGAACGGGUGAGUAAUGCGUCGGAACUUGCCGAGUAGUGGGGGAGAACGCAGCGAAAGUUGUGCUAAUACCGCGUGCGGCCUACGGGUGUAAGUGGGGGAUCUUCCGGCCUCACGCUAAUAGAUGAGCAGAGGUCGGAUUAGCGAGUUGGUGAGGUAACGGCUCACCAAGGCGACGAUCCGUAGCUGGUCUGAGAGGAUGAUCAGCCACACUGGAACUGAGACACGGUCCAGACUCCUACGGGAGGCAGCAGUGGGGAAUAUUGGACAAUGGGCGAAAGCCUGAUCCAGCCAUGCCGCGUGUGUGAAGAAGGUCUUCGGAUUGUAAAGCACUUUAAGUUGGGAGGAAGGGCUGUAAGCUAAUAUCUUGCAGCUUUGACGUUACCAACAGAAUAAGCACCGGCUAACUCUGUGCCAGCCGCCGCGGUAACAC